UAGUCCACGCCGUAAACGAUGGGUGCUAGUUGUUGGCCUUUGGUCAGUGACACAGCUAACGCGUUAAGCACCCCGCCUGGGGAGUACGGUCGCAAGAUUAAAACUCAAAGGAAUUGACGGGGACCCGCACAAGCGGUGGAGCAUGUGGUUUAAUUCGAUGCUACGCGAAGAACCUUACCACCCCUUGACAUCUUGGUCGCGGCUCUUGUAAUGGAGAGCUUUCAGUUCGGCUGGACCAAUGACAGGUGUUGCAUGGCUGUCGUCAGCUCGUGUCGUGAGAUGUUGGGUUAAGUCCCGCAACGAGCGCAACCCUCAUCCUUAGUUGCCAGCACGUUAUGGUGGGAACUCUAGGGAAACUGCCCGUGAUAAGCCGGAGAAGGCGGGGAUGACGUCAAGUCCUCAUGGCCCUUAUGGGGUGGGCUACACACGUGCUACAAUGGCGGUGACAGUGGGAUGCGAACUCGCGAGGGUAAGCUAAUCUCCAAAAACCGUCUCAGUUCGGAUUGCACU
rnacentral:rRNA from 1 species